rnacentral:misc_RNA from 1 species
AUAUAUCAACCUCUUCAGCUUUUGCAUGUUGAGUGCUUGGAUGUGGGGGGUAUUUUUUGCUGGACUCUAGAAUCUGAGGUCAGCUCCCCUAAAAUGUAUCAGCGAAACAAUUUGUUUACCGCUCAUUGGUGUGAUAACUAUCUACGCUAUUGACGGUAAAAGCACGUUUAGCUCCUAACAGUCCAUUAGCUUGGACAACCUCUUAUUA